ensembl:miRNA
GCGAUGAGCUCGCCUUGGGCAUUUCCCAUUAGUCUCCAGUAGAGGCUAGAAUCUGGAGAGAGUUCCCUGCUGGGGCUGUGGAGUCAGGUGGGCUUCUUGGGUUUGUCAACUUUCUCC